UGGAUCAACUCCUUCACUUUGCAGAUGAACAAACUGAGGCUCAAAAGAUCAAAAGAUUCACCUAAGUUCACUCCAUUACACUGAGUCCUUGCUCCUGAAAUGGCCCUCUUCCUCACACAGUACAGCCUCAUUCCUCACUAUCUUCUGGGCACAUCUGUGAGCUGCCUGCUGAUGCCAUCGGCUCUUUGUUCCAGGAAGCCAUCUAAUUCCCAUGGUGGGGAACCACAGCCAGCUCCCUUACAGGACUCUCAGCAGUGGAAUCAGCAUGAUAGUCAGUCUAACCCUGUUUUCUUAAGAUGUAUCCAGCUCUCUACUUUCUCCACUUUGAGGUUAACAGUAAGACUUUGGAUUUAGUCAAUGAGGGUUUGGAUUCAGUUCCCUCACUUACUAGGUGAGAGACCUCAAGCAAGUCACUAAGCCUCUCCAAGCCUCAGUUUCCUUGUAUGGAAAAUGGGUACAAUACUGCCUACCUCUAUAAACUAGUGUGAGGAUUAAGAUGAUGUGUACAGAGCCAGCACAGGGCUGGGAAAAGAAUAAACCCCUAAUAACCCAUAGCUAGGAGGAUAAGGAGAAGGUUAAUGUCAACAUUAGCAGUACUACCAGAAUUUUAUCUUCUCUAAGACAGGCAAAGGAAAUUCUCACUGGUCCAUCUUUGAGUUUUGAACUUCGUAUCUUUUGCAUUUAAUAAUAAAAUAGAUUACUGCCAAA
rnacentral:lncRNA from 10 species